rnacentral:tRNA from 1 species
ACAGCAGUAGCUCAGAUGGUAGAGCAAGCCCCCUCGCCCGGGGCCGCGCGCCGGUUCAAGUCCGGCCUGCUGUC